rnacentral:rRNA from 1 species
CCUACGGGUGGCUGCAGUUAGGAAUCUUCCACAAUGGGCGAAAGCCUGAUGGAGCGACGCCGCGUGAGGGAUGAAGGUUCUCGGAUCGUAAACCUCUGAACUAAGGACGAAAGACGCGAAAGCGGGAUGACGGUACUUAGGUAAUAGCACCGGCUAACUCCGUGCCAGCAGCCGCGGUAAUACGGAGGGUGCAAGCGUUACCCGGAAUCACUGGGCGUAAAGGGCGUGUAGGCGGUCAUUUAAGUCUGGUUUUAAAGACUGCGGCUCAACCGCAG